UACGUAGGGGGCAAGCGUUGUCCGGAUUCAUUGGGCGUAAAGAGCGUGUAGGCGGCCAGGUAGGUCGGUUGUGAAAACUGGAGGCUCAACCUUCAGACGUCGAUCGAAACCAUCUGGCUAGAGUCCGGGAGAGGAGAGUGGGAAUUCCUGGUGUAGCGGUGAAAUGCGCAGAUAUCAGGAAGAACACCCGUGGCGAAAGCGGCUCUCUGGAACGGUACUGACGCUGAGACGCGAAAGCGUGGGGAGCGAACAGG
rnacentral:rRNA from 1 species